GUUGGCAGCACAAAGAAACGAUUAGACCUUGUGAGUGUGACAGGAAGAAAACAAUACUCAUGUUAGCUAAGAUGCAGAACUUAUUAUGAAGUUAGCAUGCCAGUGUAGCAAACUCAACAACUGAACAAAGUUGACUUGCUGGUUACUGGCUAUAUUGUCAUACUAGCUACUAGUAUCUAGUGGACGUAAAUUACUCGUUCAACCUGCUACAAGAUGAAGCUGCCCGGCGAGAGCUACCUGCUGCAGAAAAGUCAGGUUUCUCCAUUACUUUCUGUAGAUAACUGAGCUAGAUCUUCUGUCGGCUGAUGGUGUAUAUUGACUAUAAACAGCAGUUACUGUAAAUGGUUACCUAUCUGGCACUUUGCAUAGCUAACUUGGCUAUUGCUGACACAUAAAACAAUAUCCAAUUAAGCUAGAAAAGCACAGUAUGGCAUCUCAGCUGAUCAUCAUGAACUUCAUGUAGUUACAGUACAUCAACCAAUCCAGAUGAUUGUGAACGGCAUCUCAGAACGCACAACUCGUCGGUCCUUAUUUACGGAUAGGCUAUUGCAGCAGAUGACCACAUUGGGAUCCACUCCAAUCAGCUAAAAACAAGAAUAACUGGCUCCAGUGGGCAUGCGAUCACCUGGACAAUUGAGGAGUGGAAAAACAUAGCCUGGUCUGAUGAAUCCUGGUUCCUGUUGCGUCAUGCUGACAGUUGAGUCAGGAUUUGGUGUAGGAAGCAUAAGUCCAUGGCCCCAUAAUGCCAAUUGAGCAAUUCUUCCAUGCCUCAAAGAAUUCAGGCUAUUCUUGAGGCAAAGGAAGGUCCGACCUGGUACUAGAUGGGUGUACCUAAUAAACUGGCGACUGAGUGUAUAUUUCUAUUUUAUGCAGAACUGGAUGUAAAAAAGGGGAUGCGAUUACAUUAAAACAUUAUUAGGUCUAUAUUCUAAAAUGCAAGGGCAGGUAGUUGACUGAACUUUAUAAACAAAUGUGAAUAUUCAUCAUUUAUCAUUAUUAGUGUCAGGAUUUGGCCAGGGUUGUUCCGGUUUUUGGUCACUAGAUGCCCCCAUUGUGCCUUUUGACCUUUUGUUUUCCCUUGAUCCCCAUUAUUAUUUGCACCUGUGCCUCGUUUCCCCUGAUUGUAAUUUAAACCCUUUGUUUUCCUCUGUUCUUUGCUCUGUGUUUGUAUGUUAGCACCCAGCCCUAGUACUCUGAGAAAUCUUGUUGAUCCCGGUGGACUCUCUUGUGGAAUUCUGUUUUUUGUUCUUGUUUGUUUGUUUGUUUUUUUGAGUAUCUUUUGAGGCGUUUUGUGCUUUACCUUCCACCUUGUGGAUUUACCUUUUUUUGUCUUGGAGGAUUACCUUUGUUCUUGUAGGAUUCCUUUUGAGGUUGUGGAGUUACAUGUUUUCCUGAAGAACUUCACUUUUUACUUCAUUAAAUACACCGUCUCAAGUA